GGGGACCAUCCUCCAAGGCUAAAUACUCCUGACUGACCGAUAGUGAACCAGUACCGUGAGGGAAAGGCGAAAAGAACCCCGGCGAGGGGAGUGAAAAAGAACCUGAAACCGUGUACGUACAAGCAGUGGGAGCACGCUUAGGCGUGUGACUGCGUACCUUUUGUAUAAUGGGUCAGCGACUUAUAUUCUGUAGCAAGGUUAACCGAAUAGGGGAGCCGAAGGGAAACCGAGUCUUAACUGGGCGUUAAGUUGCAGGGUAUAGACCCGAAACCCGGUGAUCUAGCCAUGGGCAGGUUGAAGGUUGGGUAACACUAACUGGAGGACCGAACCGACUAAUGUUGAAAAAUUAGCGGAUGACUUGUGGCUGGGGGUGAAAGGCCAAUCAAACCGGGAGAUAGCUGGUUCUCCCCGAAAGCUAUUUAGGUAGCGCCUCGUGAAUUCAUCUCCGGGGGUAGAGCACUGUUUCGGCAAGGGGGUCAUCCCGACUUACCAACCCGAUGCAAACUGCGAAUACCGGAGAAUGUUAUCACGGGAGACACACGGCGGGUGCUAACGUCCGUCGUGAAGAGGGAAACAACCCAGACCGCC
rnacentral:rRNA from 1 species